rnacentral:rRNA from 1 species
UACGUAGGCAGCGAGCGUUGUUCGGAGUUACUGGGCGUAAAGGGUGUGUAGGCGGUUGCUUAAGUUUGGUGUGAAAUCUCCCGGCUCAACUGGGAGGGUGCGCCGAAUACUGAAUGACUAGAGUGCGGGAGAGGAAAGUGGAAUUCCUGGUGUAGCGGUGAAAUGCGUAGAUAUCAGGAGGAACACCGGUGGUGUAGACGGCUUUCUGGACCGUAACUGACGCUGAGACACGAAAGCGUGGGUAGCAAACAGG